UUGAUUGAUUUGCAAAAAUGGAGAAGGAUCUGACAAUAAAAUCAUAUUGGCAAGGGUUUUGGCUGCCUACAACGUUGACAGACACAAGAAGGAUGGAAAAUAUACCCCUGGGAAUGUAUCACUGAAAUGUUAUGGUCAGAGUCUGGGACCUCAAGGUGGAUGAAUCCAUCACUGCGAUACCCAAAGUGCUGGGGACUGGCUGCUGUGGAAGGAGGAAGGGACAGCUCAAGCAGCAGAUCAAGGGAGGUUCUUCUUCCCCUCUACUCUGCCCUGGAUAUUGUAAAAAAGGAGUGCUGGAUUCCCUGAAAGAAACCCAACUUCUGGAAGCAUUACAUACACUGGAAUGAUGACUACUUUCAGUACCUGCUACCAGAUGCCAUGUCUCAGAAGAUGGAGACAGAUGGACUCCAGUUUGACCCAGCAUAGCCAUUUCUCCUUGCAGUUCAACUUCUACAGACUUCCAGGCUUUUGAACAGCAAGUGUCAAAUCUCCAUGCCCAUAAGAUAUUUUAAUCAUCAUCCAAACAUGAACAUCCCUGAAGAAGACAAAGAACUCAGUUGAUGUCUUCUAGUUUCAGAAAUGCUUGGCAAGAAGAUUUCUGCACAGGUAGAAGACACCACAGGAGUCUGAGUGGUUGAGGAACACUUGAGCAAUGCUAAGUGAAAGACUGCCAAACCUGUCUGGCACAUCCAGAAGGCAGGAGGCAGGCUCUUUUCAUUUGCUCUCUCUCUCUGUCUCUUUUACUAUGUAAGCAGUUCCACAUAUUCUUAGGUGGAUGACAUUCUUAAAAAGCAAAAGCACUAAAAGUAACAGAAACCA